UAUUCUUCUCUAUCAUUAUUAUUUAUCUUUAUAUUAUAUUAGCAAAACAUCGGUGUUAAUAUUUAUAAUGAUCCUAAAAAAGGAGCAAAAUAUUAGAAUCAAUUUUUAAUCCUAAAAAUACGACACCAAUGAAAUUCAACAUUCGCCAGCAGAGUUUAAAAAUAUUUAAAUAUUAAUUAUCUCCAUUGCAUAACAAUAAUUGGCUAUGUCGACGAACAUGCGCCUAACCUCUCGACGGGAUAUCGUGUCGAGUAGUAAACCCAAUUUCCCAUCAUUUUACAAAAACAAUUCGCAAACGGCUCUAAUAGGAAUUGCAAAAGGAAACGCGGAUUGAGACAUAAACAAAAAUGGCGUUCGUCGCGGGCUCGCGAUUUCGAAUCGAGGCGGUUUUAGCUCCACGAGACGAGGUUAGAAUCUCGCUGGUGGAUCGAGCGCGACUCUCAUCGUACGCACUUUCGACGUAAUCCUCGAGGUAGAGCAUCUUCCCGCGUCGCCGAUCGUCCACGAUCAGUAUAAUCGACUAGUAUCCGCCCCUCGUGGCCGGGAAGUCGUAUAAUUCCGCGUCAAUUUUUCGGGUAAAGAGCUGCCCGAUCGAAAGCGUGCUCGCGUGUGUCUGUCCAGCCCCUCCGCCUCCGCAUUUUUUUCGAGGCGCUUUUAACGCUUUCCAAGCCUAUAGGCCGAGGCUCUAUCCGAGGGGUUUUCGAAAAUGUAUGACUGGUAUAACAACGGAGUUGUCGAGGAACGACCUCGAUUAGGAUGAUACAGCUCGAUUUCUGAUUAUUCGGGGCAUUGUCAUCUAUCUCGCCAUAUUACACUAUAAUGAUACGACGAAGCCCGACACGCAUAGAGAUGCGUUUGGAUGACCUGCAAGAAUAUGAAGAGAUAAGGAAAGCACACGAAGCCAAAAAGGAUCCCGAGAAAAAAUCAUCAUCUGCUAUGAAUCCUCCCACAUGGGGGGGUAAGGUUCCUCAGAGCGAAAUCCAGGAACGCAUUGGUUACAUACCGCAACAGCAUCCACCUACGCAUAAUCGACCCACAACAUAACAAUGGACGUCGAAUACACAAAUCAGAUGAACAGGCAACAAAAUUAUGCCAAUCAAUAUAUUUUUUUAUUUCGUAGAUUCGACAGUUGAUUAAUUUCUAUUUGGUCAUAGUCAUUAAUCAUUGCGAUUUAUAAAUUAUAUAUCAACCUCUUUUUAUAUUUUACGACAUUUUUUAAAUAUGUAUAUAAAGUAUAAUUAUUAUGGAGUAUGUAACAUAUUAAUGAACGAUAUCUAUAGUUUUUUUCUUUUUCUUUAUCUUCAUUGGCAUAGGUCCUGGCAUCUUGAAUACCGUACUUAAAAAAAAUAAAAUGAAAGAUUAGAAUGUAAUUUAUAAUUAUAUAUCAAACUUAACUGCAACUAUAUUUAAUAUAGUGCAAUCAGUAUAUUAUAUGUAAUAUGUCAUAAAUAUAGUAUUCAUUAUCAUUAAUUACAGAGUAAUUAUAUAUAAUAGAAUCCAUUAUAAUAUUACAAAAAUACUUACUGACAAGUUGUACAUAUUGGACUAUAUUUGCAGAAAACUGUAAAAAUAAUAAUUCAAUUGUUUUAUACAUUAUAUUACGUUAAUACAUUUAGUAUUAAUAAGUAAUAAAUAAAUUGAGUAUUAUUGUCAACAU